rnacentral:rRNA from 1 species
UAGCUUUUAUGAUUAUUAUUUUGAUGAACUUAAAUAUUUAAAAUCACUUACCAGAAUUAGUAUUAUCUAACAACCCUCAUUCCAAUUAACAUUCAUAUCUGCAAAGGAUAUUACCAAUUAACUAUAAGAAAAAAUAAACCCCUCUACCUUUUGCAUCAUGUAGUUGCAACAUGUAACAAUUAACACCUGUUUCCCGAAAAAUGGAGAGCUACUAUUAACAACUAACCACUCUUAAUGUUUCAAUAUUAAGAAACAGCUACUAGUAGCAGCAAAAUACCAUACGAGCCAUUUGAUAGCUGGUUGUUCCUAAAAGAUAUAUAAGUAUCCCGUUACAGAAAAGUUACCAACAUACCUACCUGUAAUGGAAACUUAAGUGGGGACAAGCCCGUUUAAGCCCGAUAGAAGUGAAUUUAAAGACAGUACCCAGAAAAGGCCUAAAAACAGCCAAAAAUACCCGUUAAAGGGAACGAACAACCGUAAAACCUCAUACCAUACCAAAUAAAUCAACUCCUCACUAACUAAGGAACCUUAUAAUUUAACCUUAAUCUGUAAUGAACCGGCAAUUAUUAGUAUCACAAAAUCAGUAACAAUAAGAACAUCAAUAAAACAAUACUUCAACAAAACUACCGUUAACAAUCAAAUCGUGAGUAAUGAACUCGGCAAAUAAUCUCUCUGCCUGUUUACCAAAAACAUCGUCUUCUGAGCUAACACCAUAUAGAAGAUAAUGCCUGCCCAAUGACACAGUUAAAUGGCCGCGUUAGCGUGAGCGUGCUAAGGUAGCGUAAUAAUUAGCUUCCUAAUUAGGAGCCAGUGAAUGGCAAGACAAAGAGAAACUCUAUCACUUACGUUUAGAAAAUUUUCCAAUUAAGUGAAAAGGCUUAAGUAAAAGAGAAAGACAAAAAGACCCCGCGGAACUUCCUGAACCUUUACCUCAAUAAUACAGAAUAUUAAAGCUAACCAGGUUGGUUGGGGCAACCAUGGAACAACUUCAACUUCCAACUUAUACAGUAAAUUAUACAAAACUUGAUACGGACCACAAUCGCAGUUACCCCGGGGAUAACAGCGUAAUCCAGUUUAAGAGUACGCAUCAAAAACUGGGUUUGCGACCUCGAUGUUGGCUUAGGGAAACUGGGUUUGCGACCUCGAUGUUGGCUUAGGGAAUGCAACUUGGCGCAGCCGCUAAGUUACCUGCCAGUCUGUUCGACUGCAAACACCCUACAUGAGCUGAGUUAAGACCGGCGAGAGCUAGGUUGGACUCUACCUUCUCCAACAAAAUUAGUCUCUUUGUUGUACGAAAGGACCCAAAGAGCCACAUCAACAAGUGCCAUUAAAUCUUACUAUGCAAAUAGUCUAUUACCAAUACAAACACCAAC